UCAUAUGAGGACAAGCGUUAUCAGCGACCUUUUCUAGCAAAAGAAACAGGCCCCAGAAGUUAAAGAACCUUGUGAAGUUUCUUUAGCUAAGUGGAGAUAAGAAAACCCAUCUAAUGGAAGUGGAAUUGUGAAGUUCAGUUGUAAAGUGUUUAGAAUGACACCUGGCAAAUAAUACAUCUCCAUCAUCAGUUGAGAAUUCUGGUUCUGCUGUUGACUGGAGCUGAAUUCCUUCAUACAGGCAAGUAUCUGGGGUUAAACAUUAAAAGGGAUGGAGGACAGAGAUUUUUUUUUUUUAUCCUGCUACUUCCCUUUCAAGCUCUCUUCCAUCUCAGAAGCCACUGUCUCACCAGGUUGUGGCCUCUAGCCCAAGGAACUUCUCUCAUUAUUGGUAGAGUACAGAUAACUAGAUAGGACCUAUGAAUCUGCAGGUCUUUCUGGGUUCCCAGGUUACCAGACCCACCAUUGUCCUCACAGUUAUAUGCAAAGGUAUGGCCACAGCUGUGGCGGGCUGCUGUGGCUUGUCUCCACCAAACCCCAUGUUUAAAUUUGAUCCCCAGUGUUGGAGGUGGGGCCUAAUAGGAGGUAUCUGGGUCAUGGGGGUGGAUCCCUCACGAAUACAUUAAUGCUCUCUCUGAAGGUGGUAAGUUCUUAUUCUAUAAGUUCCUGAGAGAGCUGGGUUUUUAAAAAAAUAUCAAUUAUAUAUAUAUAGUGGGCCAUAAAAACUAUC
rnacentral:lncRNA from 1 species